AAAUUACCAUAUUGCUAUUAAUGAAUUAAUAUGAGCCUUUGGAUGAGAUUUUAAGAUCUAAUCUCCACCGUCCAUUUGGAAAAAUAACCAAAGUGCCUAAAAGUCAUCUAAAACCUAAAUAAUCGAAUGUGCUACAACUCAUCUUCUUCUUCAUCAAAACCCUAGCCACCCAAAUGCAAGCUCUCUCUCCCUCUAUCCAUUUUUUUUCAAAACACCAUCAAAGACACCAUUUUUGAACAAGUUCAAGCAAAAAUAUGUAAGUACCUAAGCUGAGGAAGUGACCUCUUGCAUCAAAAUCUCAGAUUUUCACCAUUUGGUAAUAGAUGGUGGUUGCAGAAGAAUAGUAAGAUGGGUGCUUCAGAGCAGUGGAUAGAUUAGAAGUAAUUAUAAUGAUUUGAUUUAUUGUGGAAUUAGUGGCAUGUAGUUUAUUAUUCGAGGUUCCAUAUUAAUAUGAUGAUUUAUGGAGUGUUGUAUCUAAAUUAUUGUAUGAUCUCAGAGACAUAUGUAUAAGAUAGUGCAGUAAUGAUUAUAAAUCUUGUGUUGCCUGGAUAAGUUAUUAUGAGAUCAUUUAUUU